UACGGGGGGUGCGAGCGUUGUCCGGAAUCACUGGCGUAAAGGGCGCGUAGGUGGUUUGAUAAGGGUGUGGUGAAAGUCCGGGGCUCAACCCCGGAUCUGCCGUGCCGACUGUCAAACUCGAGGGCUGUAGAGGCAGACGGAAUUCCGGGUGUAGCGGUGGAAUGCGUAGAGAUCCGGAGGAAGACCGGUGGCGAAGGCGGUCUGCU
rnacentral:rRNA from 1 species